UACGAGUGCUUCGAGCGUUAUCCGGAAUCAUUGGGCGUAAAGGGUGUGUAGGCGGUUCUGUUAGUCCUGUGUUAAAUAUACCGGCUCAACCGGUAUGCCGCAUGGGAUACGGCAGAACUUUGAGGAUGGUAGGGGUCUCUGGAACUCAUGGUGUAGCGGUGAAAUGCGUUGAUAUCAUGGGGAACACCGAAAGCGAAGGCAAGAGACUGGACCACUCCUGACGCUGAAACACGAAAGCUAGGGGAGCAAACAGG
rnacentral:rRNA from 1 species